rnacentral:misc_RNA from 1 species
UCAUCUACGGCGGUAGAUCU